rnacentral:rRNA from 1 species
UACGUAGGGGGCAAGCGUUGUCCGGAAUCAUUGGGCGUAAAGAGCGUGUAGGCGGUUCGGUAAGUCGGCUGUGAAAGUCCAGGGCUCAACCCUGGGAUGCCGGUCGAUACUGCCGGACUAGAGUUCGGAAGAGGAGAGUGGAAUUCCUGGUGUAGCGGUGAAAUGCGCAGAUAUCAGGAAGAACACCCGUGGCGAAGGCGGUUCUCUGGGACGGUACUGACGCUGAGACGCGAAAGCGUGGGGAGCGAACAGG